rnacentral:rRNA from 1 species
ACAGUAGGGAAUUUUGCGGCAAUGGACGAAAGUCUGACGCAGCAACGCCGCGUGAGUGAUGAAUGCCUUCGGGUUGUAAAACUCUGUUGUUUGGGAAGAAAAACUUAGGGGCUAAUAUCCCCUGAGUCUGACGGUACCAUUCGAGGAAGCUCCGGCUAACUACGUGCCAGCAGCCGCGGUAAUACGUAGGGAGCGAGCGUUGUUCGGAAUCACUGGGCGUAAAGGGAGUGUAGGCGGGCUUGUAAGUUAGAAGUUUAAUCCAUAGGCUUAACCUGUGGUCGGCUUUUAAUACUGCAAGUCUUGAGUAUGGGAGAGGGUGAUGGAAUUCAAGGUGUAGCGGUGGAAUGCGUAGAUAUCUUGAAGAACACCAGUAGCGAAGGCGGUCACCUGGCCCAAUACUGACGCUGAUGCUCGAAAGCUAGGGGAGCAAACAGGAUUAGAUACCCUGGUAGUCCUAGCCGUAAACGAUGGACACUAGUUGCUGGAGGAGUCAAUCUUUUCAGUGACGAAGCUAACGCAUUAAG